rnacentral:rRNA from 1 species
CGUGGGUAACCUGCCCUUGGGAUUGGGAUAACUGGCCGAAAGGCCCGCUAAUACCGGAUAAGACCACAUGAGCUUUGGCUCAAGGGGUCAAAGUCGGCCUCUCGAAGAAGCCGGCACCUGAGGAUGGGCCCGCGGACCAUUAGCUAGUUGGUGAGGUAACGGCUCACCAAGGCCGAGAUGGUUAGCUGGUCUGAGAGGAUGAUCAGCCACACUGGAACUGAGAUACGGUCCAG